GAUGAACGCUCGCGGCAGGCCUAACACAUGCAAGUCGAGGGAGAAGCCCUUUCGGGGGCAGAAACCGGCGCACGGGUGCGUAACGCGUAUGCAACCUACCUUUCACAGGGGGAUAGCCCGAAGAAAUUUGGAUUAAUACCCCAUAAUAUUAUUGGAUGGCUUCAUUUGAUAAUUAAAACUGCGGUGGUGAAAGAUGGGCAUGCGUCCUAUUAGCUAGUUGGAGUGGUAACGGCACCCCAAGGCUACGAUAGGUAGGGGUCCUGAGAGGGAGAUCCCCCACACUGGUACUGAGACAGGGACCAGACUCCUACGGGAGGCAGCAGUGAGGAAUAUUGGUCAAUGGUCGGAAGACUGAACCAGCCAUGCCGCGUGCAGGAAGAAUGCCUUAUGGGUUGUAAACUGCUUUUAUAUGGGAAGAAUAAGGUGUACGUGUACAUUGAUGACGGUACCAGAUGAAUAAGCAUCGGCUAACUCCGUG
rnacentral:rRNA from 1 species